rfam:Triticum urartu cultivar G1812 contig922245, whole genome shotgun sequence.
GAGGAUGAUGAUUUCAAAUUUGUCGCCCCAGUCUUAGGGUCUGCUUAGGUGGAUCUGUGCUGAUUGACAUACUAUUAAAUCUGACUC